GAUGAACGCUGGCGGCGUGCCUAAUACAUGCAAGUCGAGCGAACAGAUGAGGAGCUUGCUCCUCUGACGUUAGCGGCGGACGGGUGAGUAACACGUGGAUAACCUACCUAUAAGACUGGGAUAACUUCGGGAAACCGGAGCUAAUACCGGAUAAUAUAUUGAACCGCAUGGUUCAAUAGUGAAAGACGGUUUUGCUGUCACUUAUAGAUGGAUCCGCGCCGCAUUAGCUAGUUGGGAAGGUAACGGCUUACCAAGGCAACGAUGCGUAGCCGACCUGAGAGGGUGAUCGGCAACAAUGGAACUGAGACACGGUCCAGACUCCUACGGGAGGCAGCAGUAGGGAAUCUUCCGCAAUGGGCGAAAGCCUGACGGAGCAACGCCGCGUGAGUGAUGAAGGUCUUCGGAUCGUAAAACUCUGUUAUUAGGGAAGAACAAAUGUGUAAGUAACUAUGCACGUCUUGACGGUACCUAAUCAGAAAGCCACGGCUAACUACGUG
rnacentral:rRNA from 1 species